CUGCUUUCCUCAGGAAGAAAGAAGGGAGAAUAGGUGGCAAUGGGUGAGUCUUUAUUUUCCUUGAGACUGAAUUGAGGAUGUCAACUGUCUUAGAAAGAAAAUCGAAGCAAAUCCCUUUGUUCCAUUGCCCUUCAUAGGGAAAACAUACUAAAUUGGUCCUCUCUUUGCUAGGCUCUUCCAAAGGUUUAUAUCCUUGCUGAAAUAAUCUCUUUGGGAAUCACUUCUAAAUUUCAUGACCUUGUUCACUCUUUCUUAUUAGCCAUUCUUACAUCAGUUCUACCCUCUCCUAGUGCUAAAGCAUCUGGUAAAGCCAACUAAAUUUCUUGUGGAUUAGUGUGGUGCUUACCCAACAACAUGGGUGUGGUAGACAGCCUCCAGGAUGGCCCCAAAGACCCCAGCCUCAUGAUAUGCACACACUUGAGUAGUUCUCCUCCACAGUGUGCUGUGGUUUGUGUAACCAACAGAAUAUGGGAGAAGUGAUGGUAUGUCAUUUUUAAGAUUACAAAAAGAUGCUGCAUCUUCUAUUUUGACCACAUCUCUCUUGGAUCACUUGCUUUAAGGGAAGCCUGCUGCCAUGUCUUGAGGACCCUCCAACAGCUCUGUGGAGAAGCCCACAUGGUGAGAAACUGAGGCCUUCAUGCAACAGCCAUGUGAAAAAGUCUUCAUGGAAGUGGGUCUUCCAGCCCAAUCAGAUCUUCAGAUGACUGCAGCCCCAGCUGACAGUUUCACAGGAAACUAAUGAGAGACCCUGAACCAGAGCCACCUGGGCCCCUGAGUUUCUGGCAGUUACAGUCAGGGCCCUCUGCUGAAAGAAGCAUCAUGGAAACCUGGACACACAUGAGAACCGGCCUUCCACGCAGGCAAGAAGCAGAAACUGAGGCUCCUCCUUCUCCAUCAUGAGGAAUGUCUUCUGGAAGGCCCUCUGUUGACCUCUCUUGAGAGAUGGCUUUGGUCUGGGUCACCCUGGGCCAUCAGUCAUAUUCUAAUAAUUUGAACCUUAAAAAGAAGGGGUUCUGGUUUCUGUUUCCUCUUUUUGUGUCCCAUAUAAAUUUCAGAUGCGGACAGAUGUAUAGGCAUGGGGCCUUGGCUAACUGCACUCACGACUCUUAGCCAAAUUAAUGAAGGAUAAUACUAAAGAGAACAAAACCCCCAGGGUAUUACAUAUGGAUUUCAAAUUCCAGAAUGAGUGCGAGAUAAGGGAAAUGAUGUAGUAUUUAAGACAGAAUCUCAAAUAAGAGCCAACCAAUACUGCCCCAGCCCUUGACCCGAGUUCUAAUUUCUCCUUUUGCACAUGGAAAGGGAGAAAGAAGAGGAGCAUGUGAGUGGUUUGAAGUACCCUGCCAUUCCUUACACAUCUGGGCAAAACUCAUCAUAAUAAGGUAAAUCAGUUAACGUCAAAAUGCAUCAAAGAGAAAAUGCAGCAAUUCCUACUAGAUUCAAUUUUUCAAUUUUCAUAUAAGAAUUAAAGCUAAAUAUUGACAAAGGAAAUUUAUUUCUUGCAAAUAAUUGGGGUUGAAGCUUUUAUAUGGGGUCAAUGAUUCAUAGGUUACAAUAUGGCUGAGUUGGAAGGUAUAUGAUCAUGGAUGUCAACUAUGGAGGAGAAAAUGUUGAUUUGGGAGUUUAUAGUUCCACAGAAGAAACAUGAAAGAAAAAAUAUGUAGCCAGAAAAGGUGACAUUACAAAGGGAUUUUUCCACUGUAGUUCAUGAAAGAUAAUAGACUUGGAAAUACCAGAAAGUUGCUUGUGUCUUUAAACAUUUAGUAAACAUAUAAGAAUGUAAAAUAAUUUUCUUUAAAAAGGUACAUUAAUAAUCUGGGUCAGAAUUAUAAAAAUUAAAAUUAAGAAAAUUUACCCUUUAGAAAGAAGGGGAGUGGUGAAAUGGAAAGUGAAAUAUUAUAUCUUUUGCAAUGGUGCUCUCUAAUUACUAAAAUUAAUUUCUCAGAAGUUGGGAGAUCUGGCAGAAAUCCAUAAAUAUAAACAAUUUUUUGUUUGAAAAGGAAGAAAUGAAAAUUGAGACGGAGGCUGAAGGAGGAGCCCUGAUUCUGUUUUCGGCUAUCCACAGGAUGGGACAUUUUAUGAAAGGAUUCAAAGGAAGCUUUCAAGUAAGGCUGCCUUCAUCCUUGCCAUGG
rnacentral:lncRNA from 1 species